UCUUGGGAUUCAGAGAGUAUCUCUGAGAAUCUUCUACAGAAGUCUGUUGAUCAUUUAUCUGGGGCUGCAGAUGAAAAAGGAAACCAUACAGGAAAUACACAAGUAGAAGAAUCAUCUGAGAAAUGUCUUCACUUGAAGCCUGCCAUUGAAAGGAAACAUCCCAUUCAGAAAAAAGCAGUAGCAAAGGGAGAUUUACGGACAUGCAACUCAGAAGUACCAAAAGAAGGGCAAGAAAGGCUGGAUGGCUGUGAAAAUAUCCAGGAGCAGGUGGGU